rnacentral:rRNA from 1 species
CCUACGGGAGGCAGCAGUGGGGAAUAUUGGUCAAUGGACGCAACUCUGAACCAGCCACGCCGCGUGAAUGAUGAAGGCCUUCGGAUUGUUAAGCUUUUUUCUUAGGGAAGAAGAAAGUGACGGUCCUUUAGUAAUAAGCCUCCGCUAACUACGUGCCAGCAGCCGCUGCAAUCCGUAGGCGGCAAGCGUUAUCCGGAAUGACUGGGCGUAAAGGGUGCGUAGGUGGUUUGACAAGUUAGUAGCGAAACUGAGUGGGUCAACUUCCGAACUACUACUGAAACUGGUGGACUUGAGUGCAGGAGGGGUGAGCGGAAUUCGUGGUGUAGCGGUGGAAUGCGUAGAUAUUAGGAGGAACACCAGUGGCGAAGGCGGAUUGCUGGACUGUAACUGACACUGAGGCACGAAAGCGUGGGGAGCAAACAGGAUUAGAUACCCUUGUAGUC